rnacentral:rRNA from 1 species
UCUAGAUUAGAGUUUGAUCCUUGGCUCAGAUUUGAACGCUGGCGGCAGGCCUAACACAUGCAAGUCGAACGGUAGCACAGAGGAGCUUGCUCCUUGGGUGACGAGUGGCGGACGGGUGAGUAAUGUCUGGGGAUCUGCCCGAUGGAGGGGGAUAACUACUGGAAACGGUAGCUAAUACCGCAUAACGUCGCAAGACCAAAGUGGGGGACCUUCGGGCCUCACACCAUCGGAUGAACCCAGAUGGGAUUAGCUAGUAGGUGGGGUAACGGCUCACCUAGGCGACGAUCCCUAGCUGGUCUGAGAGGAUGACCAGCCACACUGGAACUGAGACACGGUCCAGACUCCUACGGGAGGCAGCAGUGGGGAAUAUUGCACAAUGGGCGCAAGCCUGAUGCAGCCAUGCCGCGUGUAUGAAGAAGGGGCCUUUCGGGUUGUAAAGUACUUUCAGCGGGGAGGAAGGUGUUGGGAAGUUAAUAACUUCAGGCAAUUGAACGUUACCCGCAGAAAGAAGGCACAGGCUAACUCCGUGCCAGCAGCCGCCGUAAUACGGAGGGGUGCAAGCGUUAAUCGGAAUUACUUGGGGCGUAAAGCGCACGCAGGCGGUCUGUCAAAGUCGGAAUGUUGAAAUCCCCGGGCUUAACCUGGGGACUGCAUUCGAAACUGGCAAGGCUAGAGUCUUGUAGAGGGGGGUAGAAUUCCAGGUGUAGCGGUGAAAUGCGUAGAGAUCUGGAGGAAUACCGGUGGCGAAGGCGGCCCCCUGGACAGAGACUGACGCUCAGGUGCGAAAGCGUGGGGAGCAAACAGGAUUAGAUACCCUGGUAGUCCACGCUGUAAACGAUGUCGACUUGGAGGUUGUGCCCUUGAGGCGUGGCUUCCGGAGCUAACGCGUUAAGUCGACCACCUGGGGGAGUACGGCCGCAAGGUUAAAACUCAAAUGAAUUGACGGGGGCCCCGCACAAGCGGUGGAGCAUGGUGGUUUAAUUUCAAUGCAACGGCGAAGAACCUUACCCUGGCCCUUGACAUCCAGAAGAACUUUAGUAGAAGAAAUGCUUUGGUGCCUUCGGGAACUCUGAAAACAGGUGCUGCCAUGGGCCUGUUCGUCAGCUCGUGUUGUGAAAUUGUUGGGAUAAGUCCCGCAACGAAGCGCAACCCUUAUCCUUUGUUGCCAGCGAAUUCGGUCGGGAACUCAAAGGAAACUUGCCGGGUGAUAAACCGGAGGAAGGUGGGGAUGACGUCAAGUCAUCAUGGCCCUUACGGCCAGGGCUACACACGUGCUACAAUGGCGCAUACAAAGAGAAGCGACCUCGCGAGAGCAAGCGGACCUCAUAAAGUGCGUCGUAGUCCGGAUUGGAGUCUGCAACUCGACUCCAUGAAGUCGGAAUCGCUAGUAAUCGUAGAUCAGAAUGCUACGGUGAAUACGUUCCCGGGCCUUGUACACACCGCCCGUCACACCAUGGGAGUGGGUUGCAAAAGAAGUAGGUAGCUUAACCUUCGGGAGGGCGCUUACCACUUUGUGAUUCAUGACUGGGGUGAAGUCGUAACAAGGUAGCCGUA